rnacentral:rRNA from 1 species
CAGUAGCCGCGGGAAUACGAAGGGGGCUAGCGUUGUUCGGAAUUACUGGGCGUAAAGCGCACGUAGGCGGAUAUUUAAGUCAGGGGUGAAAUCCCAGAGCUCAACUCUGGAACUGCCUUUGAUACUGGGUAUCUUGAGUAUGGAAGAGGUGAGUGGAAUUCCGAGUGUAGAGGUGAAAUUCGUAGAUAUUCGGAGGAACACCAGUGGCGAAGGCGGCUCACUGGUCCAUUACUGACGCUGAGGUGCGAAAGCGUGGGGAGCAAACAGGAUUAGAGACCCCCGUAGUCCCUGUCUCUUAUAA